CACUCCGGACAGCCAGCUGGACGAGUCCACGUCGCCCGCCGACACCACCGAAGACGACCCCCUCCCGCUGAGGCCCUGGGGCCGCAGCCAAUCACUGCCGGCGUACGCUGACUUCAUCAUGAGGACCAGCAGUUCUUCCUUCAAUAACAACCUGACAGGGACCAGAGAGGAAGUGGCUGAGAGUUCUCUGGAGGCCCCAAAGACGGAGGGAGCUGAGGGCGGGCCUGAACCGACCCAGAGGAGCACGGACGCGGAGAGGAAGACUGACAACGAGGAGGAAG